UAUAUAUAUUCAAGGUUCUUUGAUAUAGAUCCAACUAAGUCACAACAUGAAUCAAAAUUCCAAAAAUCACUAAAAUGGCAGCACAAUCAACCAUAUAUUAUUCAUUUUAUGAAGUCUAGCAACCUGUAAAGCAAUUUAACAUCAAUGAAAACAUUCUUGGCUAUAAACACUAAGUAGCAACAAUCAUCCAAAAGUAAGUGCAUUCACAAAAAAAUGAAUAACUCAUUCACUUGUUCUAAAAUUUUUAAGAUUCAGAGUAAUGUAAACAUAUUCCAAAAGCAAAAUUAAUAGAAAUAACAGAAAAAAAGGAAUUUAAACUCGUCUUUGAUUGAUGUAACGGAUGGUUCAAAACUCUGCCUCAUCAUUAUCAUUUGUCCCUGAAAUUUAAGCUUAAAAAAAAUUCAUAAAAACAAAUACCAAAAUUGAAGAUAAACAUUAACCCAAAAAUUAAAAUCAUGAACA